AGAGUAAUCGCUGUCUGGUUGAAGUUUGUCCCUCUGCAGCUACGGUUACCCCCUGACGUCACUCAGCUAGCCGUGAGUGGCUAAACAACUCAUUUGUGUCUGGCCAGUUGCUAUAAAAUCGUCUGCCUGUUGAGCUUAGAGAUAUUCUCUGACGCACGAUACGUUUUUAGUCCUGUUGCUGCUUGGGUAUGUGGUUCUCCUGUGUCAAAGUGUUUUACUGAUUGCCAGACGCUUCCGGGUAAUCGCGCUGUGUAUUGCUGAAGGUCCUGGGCAAAGCACACGCCGGGUAGCUUUACCACAAUUUACUAGCAUCAAGAAGGUCUGGGGCAAAGUACCCGCCGUGUAGCUGUAACGUUACUGCCAGACGCUUCCGGGUAAUCGCGCUGUGUGCUUUUGAAGGUCCUAGAAGAGUAUUAGCGUAGCUGCUCACAAGAGAGGUUCCUGGUUCCGUCCCCACACCCUGCACCACGUAUUGUAGUGGUAAAUUGCACUUCACAAUCUUGUUUGAAUCAUCGGCUUGUGGUGGUGUGUGUGUGCGUGUGUGUGUGUGCGUGUGUGUGGAUGCAUGGGAUCGUGGGCUCCAGGUUCCAGAGCACGGGUGGUGAACGUCACGCGUAUCUCGGACAGGUAACCUGCCUUGCCAGCGAAUCAGUAUUUUCUAGUUUAAUUGGUAAUCAUACAUUGUCCCCUGUAACAGCUAAUGCCAGGUCUAGUCUCUAUUAGUAAUGUGUCUCUAGGAUGACGGUGUGGCUCUUUUAAUGAUACCAUUGUAUAAUAAAGUUUUGUUACUGUUUUUCUACUG